rnacentral:lncRNA from 1 species
GUAACUAUGUCAUCAUUUACUCAUCAUAUCAAUAAGAUCUCUGACGGUUGAAUAUUAAAAAAAAAAUACUAUAAAAGCUUUUUGUGCCUCAAAUAUAUAAUAAAUAAAGGUUGAAAACAGUGCAAAUUUUGUUAACUCAUUUGGGCCUAAUAUAUAACACGAAAAAGAGGCAAAAAGAGCAUAGGUUCGGCUACAUAUGAGUCUGGUAUCAUCCAUUAUAGCGAGGGCAGACCAAUGAGUCCAUUGGCAGAAGAACAAAUCCAAUAUCACUGCCUAGUACUCGUCUCCUUCUUCUUCUUCUCCGUCAGCAGACUCAGCACCAACUUCCUCGUAAUCCUUCUCAAGUGCAGCCAAAUCCUCUCUAGCCUCCGAAAACUCUCCUUCCUCCAUGCCUUCACCCACAUACCAAUGCACAAACGCCCUCUUCGAGUACAUCAAAUCAAACUUUUGAUCAAUUCUCGAAAACACCUCAGCCACACUCGUUGAGUUCGAAAUCAUACACACAGCUCUUUGAACCUUAGCCAAAUCCCCGCCAGGAACCACCGAUGGUGGCUGGUAAUUGAUUCCACACUUGAACCCAGUUGGGCACCAGUCCACGAAUUGGAUUGUUCUCUUUGUCUUGAUUGCUGCCACUGCUGCGUUCACAUCUUUUGGUACCACGUCUCCUCUGUACAUCAAACAACAUGCCAUGUAUUUCCCAUGGCGGGGGUCACAUUUCGCCAUCAUUGACGAGGGCUCAAAUGCGCUGUUUGUGAUUUCUGACACUGAGAGUUGCUCGUGGUAGGCCUUCUCUGCUGAGAUAGAAGAUAUCGAUUCUGAUAGAAAGAAGAGUGACUGUUACCAAGAACGACACGUGAACGUAGUCGUUUUUGCUAGGCCGAUCUUGCCUAGCUCGCCUCUCAGUGGCAAGUCUGCUAGUUCCAGUAGUCUCAAGGCCGCCUCGCACUGACGGUUUUGUUAAUCUGUCAAGGUUCGUUAUUUAUUUAUUUGUUUAUUAAGUUUCUGAUCAUUGAAUGUUGCUGAGAAAAUGGAGUAAAAAACAAAGAUUUUACUGUAUUACUUUUCCUUUAAAAAAGGGAAAUCAUCGUUCUUGUUUGCUUUCCGAGAAACCGAGGGAAAACAAUCUAAUCUUCAGUAGCUUUUUUUUUUUUCCCAACUCAGUAGCUUUUUAUCGUUUUUGAAGUUUGGAUGCUGAGAAAAAUAGAGAUUCGUUGUUCGGUUUUGUAAAAUUUUCUCUUCUUGUUCGGUUUCGUAAAAUUUUCUCUUCUUGUUUGGUUUCCCAGAAAAGGAGGGGAAAAGGAAAUCGUAUCUUCAAGCUGAUUUUGUUUUUUGAUUAUUUCCAUUCACGUUUUAGUCGAUUUUGUUAAAAAUCUUGCUUUCCUUCUUUCUUGUUUGGUUUCCUAGAAAAGCGAGGAAAUAAUAGGAUUCCCGCGAAAAAAUCUCUCUCUUUUGAAAUCUCCGGUUUGGGCCGGGCUGAAAUCCUUAUCCCGAUAUAUUUAGACCCGGCUGUCGCUGACCCGUUUUUCCUGUUCUUUUGGCAGGAAUUGGCUGAUGAGAAGGAGGCAGUGUGAGUGAUGCUCGAGAGGAGGAAUCAAAAAUCUUUUUGCUCACCUUUUCCUGUUUUUGUUUCUGGUUUUUAAUUUGGUAGCUUUCUUUUGUUGCUAGGACCCUAGAAGUAUGACCAACCAAAAUGAGAAGAAGGGUCUUGUCUUUUGUGUACAGCUAAAAAGCAAAUUUCAUGAACAUAAAACUGUGUGAAUAGAAACUCCAUCAUCUGUUUAAUCAUAUGUUUUGUGUAUGGCAAAUCGUUGGUAUUUCGGCAAUUUGUGAAUAACUCCAGAGUAGUGGUUUAAGAUAGCGUGUCAACCCAAAAAAAAUGCCAAGUGGUAAACGUGGCCCCCACAAUAAGUAACUAUGUCAUCAUUUACUCAUCAUAUCAAUAAGAUCUCUGACGGUUGAAUAUUAAAAAAAAAAUACUAUAAAAGCUUUUUGUGCCUCAAAUAUAUAAUAAAUAAAGGUUGAAAACAGUGCAAAUUUUGUUAACUCAUUUGGGCCUAAUAUAUAACACGAAAAAGAGGCAAAAAGAGCAUAGGUUCGGCUACAUAUGAGUCUGGUAUCAUCCAUUAUAGCGAGGGCAGACCAAUGAGUCCAUUGGCAGAAGAACAAAUCCAAUAUCACUGCCUAGUACUCGUCUCCUUCUUCUUCUUCUCCGUCAGCAGACUCAGCACCAACUUCCUCGU